GUGUGAAUGAACGUGUGCGUAUGCUAGGAUCCACUUCGCAGCCAUGUUAAGUUUGACGCACUCGAUGCUGCUGAUGCCACACUGGGAACAGUUUACGGGAAGGAAGAGCGUUUGAAUGUUCUUCCUCGGGAAUGGAUGCAGUUGCUUGUCUCCACCCCUCUGCGCGACGAUCCUGCUGCAUUUCGCCUUCUCCGCCACUGGAGGGCGCCACAGAACUUCAGGAAACUGGAUUUCGCUGCUGCUGACUCCAGCCGUGAAUGACAAGUCUGAUGGAUGUCGGUGAGUUGGCCUCCUAUUUUGAUAUGAGACACCACGCUGUCCUUGUGCAUAUUCAUAUUGUCAGCUGCGGUUUCUGCGUUGCGGCGCACCAAGGGGAAGGUUGUGCUGAAGAGCAAAACGAUUCAAUAAUGAAAGCUUUUGUCGUCAUAAUGAUUUCGUGAGUAAUUUGAGC